AUGAACGCUGGCGGCGUGCCUAAUACCUGCAAGUCGAGCGAACAGACGAGGAGCUUGCUCCUCUGACGUUAGCGGCGGACGGGUGAGUAACACGUGGAUAACCUACCUAUAAGACUGGGAUAACUUCGGGAAACCGGAGCUAAUACCGGAUAACAUGUUGAACCGCAUGGUUCAACAGUGAAAGACGGUCUUGCUGUCACUUAUAGAUGGAUCCGCGCCGCAUUAGCUAGUUGGUAAGGUAACGGCUUACCAAGGCAACGAUGCGUAGCCGACCUGAGAGGGUGAUCGGCCACACUGGAACUGAGACACGGUCCAGACUCCUACGGGAGGCAGCAGUAGGGAAUCUUCCGCAAUGGGCGAAAGCCUGACGGAGCAACGCCGCGUGAGUGAAGAAGGUCUUCGGAUCGUAAAACUCUGUUAUUAGGGAAGAACAAAUGUGUAAGUAACUAUGCACGUCUUGACGGUACCUAAUCAGAAAGCCACGGCUAACUACGUG
rnacentral:rRNA from 1 species